rnacentral:rRNA from 1 species
UACGGAGGGUGCGAGCGUUGUCCGGAAUCAUUGGGCGUAAAGGGCGCGUAGGUGGCGGGACAAGCGUGCGGUGAAAGCCUGGGGCUCAACCCCGGGUCGGCCGUGCGAACUGUUUUGCUUGAGCACUGUAGAGGCAGGCGGAAUUCCGGGUGUAGCGGUGGAAUGCGCAGAUAUCAGGAGGAACACCGGUGGCGAAGGCGGGUCUCUGGGCCGAUACUGACGCUGAGGAGCGAAAGCGUGGGGAGCGAACAGG